rnacentral:rRNA from 1 species
AUACGUAGGGCGCAAGCGUUAUCCGGGAUUUAUUGGGCGUAAAGAGCUCGUAGGCGGUUUGUCGCGUCUGCCGUGAAAGUCCGAGGCUCAACCUCGGAUCUGCGGUGGGUACGGGCAGACUAGAGUGAUGUAGGGGAGACUGGAAUUCCUGGUGUAGCGGUGAAAUGCGCAGAUAUCAGGAGGAACACCGAUGGCGAAGGCAGGUCUCUGGGCAUUUACUGACGCUGAGGAGCGAAAGCAUGGGGAGC